CCGGUGGAACAGCUGAAGCUGCCAGCAUGAUCUGGUGAGGUGGUUUUUGAAAUUUAAACCACCAGAUCAUGUGGUAGCUUCAGCUUCUCCCUCA
rnacentral:pre_miRNA from 1 species